GCAAGAGUAUUGGAGUAGAUUGUCAUUUCCUCCUCCAAACCCAACAUCUGACACUUGGCAGUAGCUCAGUAAAUGAUACCUUCCCUCCAGGCCCUGCGUCUUCCCAGCUGUGCAUUUGCGGGCAAGCCUCUUAACCUCUCUGAGCCCGGUUCCCUCAUCUGUGAAAUGAAAGAUGUUUCCGUCUGAUCCUGGCUGACAAGGCCGCACCUGCAGGCUGACGGAUGACAAAGCCGGCAUCUGGAAUCCAGCCUGACUGAGGUCACUGCAGCCACAGGUGGGGCGCUUUGUAUGCAGAGGGGCGGAGCCACACUGCAGAGGCCCCUGGCUUUUUGUCUUGACAUUUGGGAUAUACUUGGAGACCUCGGGGCUCCUUGGAAUGAAAGCAUUGACCUCCAGAAGCUGUCACUUUGGAGAGGUCGUGCAGGAAAGCUGGGCCUUGGAAUUGGCAGCCAGAUCAGAAAAGACAUUCAGCUGUCUCAGAGAUGCAAGUCCUGGCUUGAACUCCUGCCUCUGGUGUGGAAGCCCCGCCAAGUGAAGACCUCCUCCUACCCCCUGCUGUCAUCUGCUGUCUUGAUAGAAAGGGCAGAUUUCAUGCAACAUGUAAGUAAACUGCAGUGGGAAGGAAAGGAGAGUCUCUGUGUUCUCACCCACAUGCAGUCCUUCUCCUUACAGCCUGCUUUGUGUUUCUGCUCUUCACGUUCCUGGCACUGCUGCUGUCCAUGGCCUUCACAGGUGAGCUGCUGGAUGCCCUCGGUCAGCCAGGGGAUGAUGGUGCUUCAUCUUUAAACAGAAAAUGUUUGAUGGGAAGGUCCUGGCAGUCCAGUGGUUAGGACUCAGCGCUUUUACUGCUGUGGCCCGGGCUUCAGGCCCCAGUCGGGAAACUAAGAUCCCACAAGCCACAUUGCACAGUCAGAAAGCAAAAUGAAACAAAAACCCCAAAAUGUGUGCUAGGAAGAGCUGAUGAUUUUCGGACACAUAUUCAGUUCAGUUCAGUUCAGUCGCUCAGUCUUGUCUGAUUCUUUGCAACCCCGAGAACCGCAGCAUGCCAGGCCUCCUUGUCCAUCACCAACUUCCGGAGUUUACCCAAACUCAUGUCCACUGAGUUGAUGAUGCCAUCCAACCACCUCAUCCUCUGUUGUCCCCUUCUUCUCCUGCCCUCAAUCUUUCCCAGCAUCAGGGUCUUUUCAGAUGAGGCAGCCCUUCGCGUCAGGUGGCCAAAGUAUUGGAGUUUCAGCUUCAACAUCAGUCCUUCCAACGAACACCCAGGACUGAUCUCCCUUAGGAUGGACUGGUUGGAUCUCCUUGCAGUCCAAGGGACUCUCAAGAGCAUAUUUGUCACGCAGAAUUUCUUGCUGAACAUUUUGAAAGGACAGAGUGCCAGACCCUGCCCUGGGGAACACUGAGGACAGAUAUCUGCUUUGUAAAAUCUGUUUAGAUGGUUCCUGUGUCUCUUGCCCAGGUUGGGGGGUCACUGGACCAGAGGUUUCCCUUCCCAGUCCCUAUGCUCCUACGUGGAGCCCUAUGAAAAGACGAAUCUCAGGCUGUGGUCAUCGUCAGCACUCCAUGCGUUCUUUUACUGAAUGAACACAUAAAUAUUUCCAUUAAAUGAUCUCAGUUACUCAGAAGUUUGAAGUGUGAGGAAAGGUUGAGGAAGUGGGAGGGUUCAAUCCCUGGGUCGGGAAGCUCCCCUGGAGAAGGAAAUGGCAGCCCACUCCAGUAUUCUUGCCUGGGAAAUCCCAUGGACAGAGGAGCCUGGCGGGCUACAAUCUAUGAAAUCAUGAAGUGUCAGGCAUGACUGAGCGACUGAGCACACACGCAUGCAGAGGCAAUGGCUGCAUAUCAUUGUGGAUAUGUCAAAUGUCACCGAAUUGUUCCCUUUAAAAUGGUUCAUUUUCUGUUACAUGAGUUUCAUUUCAGCUUUUUUUUUUUUUGUUUACAAAAGCAACAAUACAAAACAGAAAUGAAUACAAAAAUAGUACUCUUAGAUUUGUAUCAAGUGAAAGCUGACAGCUUGACAGGAAAUAAAAGAACAAAAUAAAAUUUUCA
ensembl:lncRNA